rnacentral:piRNA from 1 species
UNUAACUGUUUCUGUUGCGCCUCUAACCA